CCUACGGGUCGCAGCAGUGGGGAAUAUUGGGCAAUGGGCGCAAGCCUGACCCAGCAACGCCGCGUGAAGGAAGAAGGCUUUCGGGUUGUAAACUUCUUUUCUCAGGGACGAAGAAGGUGACGGUACCUGAGGACUGCGCCUCGGCUAACUACGUGCCAGCCACCGCGGUACUACGGCGGUGGCGAGCGUUAUCCGGAUUUACUGGGUGUACAGGGCGUGUAGGCGGGACUGCAAGUCAGAUGUGAAAACCACGGGCUCAACCUGUGGCCUGCAUUUGAAACUGGAGUGCGUGAGUACGGGAGAGGCAGACGGAAUGCCUGGUGUAGCGGUGAAAUGCGUAGAUAUGACGAGGAACACCAGUGGCGAAGGCGGUCUGCUGGACAGCAACUGACGCUGAGGCGCGAAAGCGUGGGUAUCAAACAGGAUUAGAUACCCUAGUAGUC
rnacentral:rRNA from 1 species